UAGUCUCAGUUCAGAUUGUAGGCUGCAACUCGCCUACAUGAAGUCGGAAUUGCUAGUAAUCGCGGAUCAGCAUGCCGCGGUGAAUACGUUCCCGGGCCUUGUACACACCGCCCGUCACACCAUGAGAGCCGGUAACACCCGAAGUCAGUAGCCUAACCGCAAGGGGGGCGCUGCCGAAGGUGGGAUUGGUAAUUGGGGUGAAGUCGUAACAAGGUACC
rnacentral:rRNA from 1 species